rnacentral:rRNA from 1 species
AACGAACGCUGGCGGCAUGCUUAACACAUGCAAGUCGAACGAGAACUUCCGUUCGAGUGGCGCACAGGGGCGUACCGCGGGGGAACCCGCCCUUAGGUACGGAAUGGCUCCCCGAAACGGGUCCUAAUCUCGGCUAAUGUCUCAGGACCACUGAUGUCUAGCCCUUGGAUGGGCCCGCGAUGGUUUAGCCGGUUGGUUGGGUAAAAGCCGACCACGGCGACGCUCCAUAGCUGGUCUGAGAGGUAGCUCCGCCACACUGGGACUGAGACACGGGCCAGACUCCUACGCGAGGCAGCAGUGGGGAAUAUUGGACAAUGGGCGGAAGCCUGAUCCAGCUAUGCCGCGUGAGUGAUGAAGGCCUUAGGGUUGUAAAGCUCUUUUACCCGGGAUGAUAAUGACAGUACCGGGAGAAUAAGCUCCGGCUAACUCCGUG